GACGAACGCUGGCGGCGUGCCUAACACAUGCAAGUCGAACGGAGUGUUUAUUUAUAAACACUUAGUGGCGAGCGGGUGAGUAACGCGUAGACAACCUACCCUCUAGAUGGGGACAACACCGCGAAAGUGGUGCUAAUACCGAAUGUUGUAAUGUUGUUGCAUAAUGAUAUUACUAAAGGUGGCCUCUAUAUAAAAGCUACCGCUAGAAGAUGGGUCUGCGUCUGAUUAGCUAGUUGGUGAGAUAACAGCUCACCAAGGCAAUGAUCAGUAGCCGGUCUGAGAGGAUGAACGGCCACACUGGGACUGAGACACGGCCCAGACUCCUACGGGAGGCAGCAGUGGGGAAUCUUCCGCAAUGGACGAAAGUCUGACGGAGCAACGCCGCGUGAGUGAAGAAGGUUUUCGGAUCGUAAAGCUCUGUCUUCAAGGACGAAUGUAGAUAUUGUGAAUAAUGAUAUUUAAUGACGGUACUUGAGGAGGAAGCCACGGCUAACUACGUGCCAGCAGCCGCAGUAAGAC
rnacentral:rRNA from 1 species